rnacentral:rRNA from 1 species
ACGGAAGGCAGCAGUGGGGAAUAUUGGGCAAUGGGCGCAAGCCUGACCCAGCAACGCCGCGUGAAGGAAGAAGGCUUUCGGGUUGUAAACUUCUUUUGUCAGGGAAGAGUAGAAGACUGUACCUGGCGAAUAAGCCACGGCUAACUACGUGCCAGCAGCCGCGGUAAUACGUAGGGGGCAAGCGUUAUCCGGAUUUACUGGGUGUAAAGGGAGCGCAGGCGGUAACGCAAGCCAGAGGUGAAAACCCGGGGCUCAACCCCGAGGAUUGCCUUUGGAACUGUGGAACUGGAGUGCUGGAGGGGCAGGCGGAAUUCCUGGUGUAGCGGUGAAAUGCGUAGAUAUCAGGAGGAACACCGGUGGCGAAGGCGGCCUGCUGGACAGUAACUGACGCUGAGGCUCGAAAGCGUGGGGAGCAAACAGGAUUAGAUACCCUGGUA